CCUCCCAGCAAUGAGCAAAGAGACAACUUGUUGGCAGUGGUGUUCUUAUAUCAGUCAGGAACAGAGCAGAUGGCAGUCCUUUGUUCAUCCUAGCUUGAUGCCUGGCUUGGUGGCCACAGCUGUGUUAUACCGAGGACUCAUAA